rnacentral:sRNA from 1 species
CUGGCCCGGGAGGAGGGGCGGCGGCGAAUGCUGGGAUAGUCCGACGAGCGCUGCACUAACGCAGGAUCCGGCUCCCGAAGGUCCUCUCCAGGAUGAAGUUAAAGGAAGUAGAUCGUACAGCCAUGCAGGCAUGGAGCCCUGCCCAGAAUCACCCCAUUUACCUAGCAACAGGAACAUCUGCUCAGCAGUUGGAUGCAACAUUUAGUACGAAUGCUUCCCUUGAGAUAUUUGAAUUAGACCUUUCUGAUCCAUCCUUGGAUAUGAAAUCUUGUGCCACAUUCUCCUCUUCUCACAGGUACCACAAGUUGAUUUGGGGGCCUUAUAAAAUGGAUUCCAAAGGAGAUGUCUCUGGAGUUCUGAUUGCAGGUGGUGAAAAUGGAAAUAUUAUUCUCUAUGAUCCUUCUAAAAUUAUAGCUGGAGACAAGGAAGUUGUGAUUGCCCAGAAUGACAAGCAUACUGGCCCAGUGAGAGCCUUGGAUGUGAACAUUUUCCAGUUAUGGUUUCUUCUUACAGACUAAUCUGGUAGCUUCUGGUGCUAAUGAAUCUGAAAUCUACAUAUGGGAU